UUUUUGAAAAUCCACGAAUUUGGCGAAAUUGUAGAAAGGCAAUGUUUUAAAAUCCUAAUUUACCACUCUCAACUAUCAACCCGUGCAAAUUUAUUGUAAACCAUGGCCAUAAACUUAAGGAUCAGUCUUAUCUCGUUAGGAAUUCUGCUGUUAAUGUUUUAUGUUUCAGGAUCUGAAUGUAAACCAAUUAAGGACACAUUUGACUCAUUUACAAGUUUAAGUGAUACAGUGCCACAAGGAUACACUCAAUAUUUUCGUAAAGCCCUGAUGGACGCUAGCCACGUUUUAGACAACUUGCUACAGAAGGGCAAAAUGAGUCUAAUGGACCUACCUUUUGAUAAUUUUGAAGGCUGGGUCAACUCGUAACAUAGUUUACUGUAAUUGAACCAAAUGUAGUUAUAAGCUUAUAAGGCGUCUUCAGUUCUUAUUGUGCCAAUAUUUCAGAUAUAAAAUAGUAAUAAGAGUGACAGCAUGUGUUGGUAAGAACUAAAGACACUAAUUGUUGGGCAUAAGCUUGGACUGAGCUACUUUUGGUUUGUGGUAUAGCCGUUAUAGGGCCAUAUUAUAUUUGAAUAAAUGCAUGGUUUUUGGGCCCUAAUCA